rnacentral:lncRNA from 1 species
AGUGUAAGCAAGGGAAUCUUGUUGCAGAUCACUGUAUGCCUGAAGCCUUCCAAGGGUAUCAGGUAACCCAACACACAUCAGAGCUGCUGUCACUGUGGUCUUUGGUCUUCCCUGGGUGAAGUAGGAAAGCAAACAAGCUGGGAUGCUCUUUACAUUUCAUGCAUUUAUUUGAUGCUCUUAAAUGACAGGAGUAUGGAGUAAUCAUCAUACAGAAAAGUUUUGGAAAGGUGGAACAACAGCUGGAAGGACCCUGCUUCCUAACCAGAGCAGAAGGAGGAACUUGAUGGCUACCAGAGCUGUGAGAGAAGGAAGUUCAGAGGUGGGGAAAACAGAGAUAACAACAUAGAUUGGAAAGAGACAAGCAUGUGAAAAAACAGAUAAAAGGAGCCAACUGGAUGUAAAGCAGUAAUUACACCAAGGUUUGUACUGUAUUCCUGUUAGAGGCCCCAUUAACUUGAUUAGAGUUUAAUAACCAAAAAUAUAGUCCAACACUAUCAUGUAAAGAAGUUUCAUCAAAAUGUGUAUUCUUCACAACAGUCAGUCAAUGAGCUACCUCAGAUGGGGAAAAGGAGUUAAAACACCCUGCUUAAACACUGUCAAAAUAUUUGGUAGUUCUGUUGUGAGUCCUAUCAAUUUGGCUGCUAUGUCUUGUUCAAAAGUUAGCUGAACGUCACAUUUCAUCAUAAUAAUAAUGUGUUUUGGAGUAUGCUAUCUAAUGCUACAUUACAAAAAGCACUGAAGUGCAAUCUAAUGUCUCAAAUACAGGGAGACGUUUUGUACAGGAGAAAAGUUUGUAAUGGUUCUGGAUUACCCUUUUCAAACAUAUCUCAGGGGACAAAUGGCUUUUUCAUACUUACCUUAAGAUUCAGAGAAUGCUCUUCCUCAGCUAAAUCUAAGAUCGUUCAAGCCUAAUAUUCUCUUAGGGACAGUGGUCAUAAAUAUCUACGAAAGUCUGAGAUACCCAGGAGUAUCUUAUUUUACUACGUAUUUAGUCACUUUCAAUUAAUUAUCCCCCCAUUGCAUAGUGUUCCCAGUUCUAGGACAAAUAGGAAAAGCUAUUCUUCCAGAGAACUGUUAAUGAUUGUUUUCACAGUGCUUUAAUGAUUACAGUAUCUCUGAUCAGCUCUUUUUAGCAACAGAAACUGAGGAACAGAUCUUGAACUUCAGUGAAUGGAAAGAAAAUGGGAACUGAUCUUAUUCUACAACUGAGCAUAAGUCCUCCUUGGGACAUUUCAAGGGCUUGCAUGUAAUAAUAUGCUAAUACCUUCUAUUUCUUAUACUAUGAAAUAAACUCUGAGAUAUGCUUAUACC